GAUGAAGAACGCAGCGAAAUGCGAUAAGUAAUGUGAAUUGCAGAAUUCAGUGAAUCAUCGAAUCUUUGAACGCACAUUGCGCCCGCCAGUAUUCUGGCGGGCAUGCCUGUCUGAGCGUCAUUUCAACCCUCAUGCCCCUAGGGCGUGGUGUUGGGGAUCGGCCAAAGCCCGCGAGGGACGGCCGGCCCCUAAAUCUAGUGGCGGACCCGUCGUGGCCUCCUCUGCGAAGUAGUGAUAUUCCGCAUCGGAGAGCGAUGAGCCCCUGCCGUUAAACCCCCAACUUUCCAAGGUUGACCUCAGAUCAGGUAGGAGUACCCGCUGAACUUAAGCAUAUCAAUAAGCGGAGGA
rnacentral:misc_RNA from 1 species